GUGGGGAAUAUUGGACAAUGGGCGCAAGCCUGAUCCAGCCAUGCCGCGUGAGUGAUGAAGGCCUUAGGGUUGUAAAGCUCUUUUGUCCGGGAAGAUAAUGACUGUACCGGAAGAAUAAGCCCCGGCUAACUUCGUGCCAGCAGCCGCGGUAAUACGAAGGGGGCUAGCGUUGUUCGGAAUCACUGGGCGUAAAGCGCACGUAGGCGGACCAUUAAGUCAGGGGUGAAAGCCUGGAGCUCAACUCCAGAACUGCCUUUGAUACUGAUGGUCUCGAGUUCGGAAGAGGUUGGUGGAACUGCGAGUGUAGAGGUGAAAUUCGUAGAUAUUCGCAAGAACACCAGUGGCGAAGGCGGCCAACUGGUCCGAUACUGACGCUGAGGUGCGAAAGCGUGGGGAGCAAACAGGAUUAGAAACCCUGGUAGUCC
rnacentral:rRNA from 1 species